AUAUCUACCUGGCAGUGGAGAUACCAUGGUCUUGAAGGUGGUUAUCCUGGGGUGAGGCUUAUCCAUUGCACUCUGCAAAUGCAGACCCCUCCUCUUUCCCCAAAUGUGAGAAACUUGACUGUGGUC
rnacentral:snRNA from 1 species